rnacentral:rRNA from 1 species
UAGGGAAUAUUAGAAAUGGACGAAAGUCUGAUCUAGCAACACCGCGUGUGCGAAGAAGGCCUUCGGGUCGUAAAGAACUUUUUGGAAGGAAUAGGAAGGAAUGUACUUCCAGAAUAAGUCUCGGCUAACUACGUGCCAGCAGCCGCGGUAACACGUAGGAGGCAAACGUUAUCCGGAUUUACUGGGCGUAAAGCGCGUGUAGGUGGUACUGUAAGUAGGGCGUGAAAGCUCCUGGCGCAACUGGGAGAGGCCGUUCUAAACGACAGAACUAGAGGAUGGUAGAGGGAGGUGGAAUUCCAGGUGUAGCGGUGGAAUGCGCAGAUAUCUGGAGGAACACCGGUGGCGAAGGCGGCCUCCUGGACCAUUCCUGACACUCAGACGCGAAAGCUAGGGUAGCAAACG